CUAGUUGUAUUAUUAGUUAAUGCAAGAUCGACUACGUCGACUAAAGUUCUAGGUAGAAUAAUGAUGAUGACAAUUUUUUACCUAUAUGUCUUGACCAAGUCUCGUGCCAGCAGUCGCGGUAAUACGUGGAAGACUAGUGUUAUUCAUCUUUAUUAGGUUUAAAGGGUACCUAGACGGUAUUUCUAGCCCAAAAUAGGGUACGGAUUUACUAGAGUUUUAUGUGAGGAGGGGAGUACUCGUGGAGUAGAGAUGAAAUUUUGUUAUACUAUGAGGUAACUGGUGGCGGCGAAAGCAACCUUCUAUGUAUAAACUGACGUUGAGGGACGAAGGCUUGGGUAGCAAAUAGGAUUAGAUACCCUAGUAGUCCAAGCAGACAAUUCUGAAUGCCAUAGAUUAGAUUAUUUUUGAUCUAUAAAUGAAAGUGUAAGCAUUCCACCUUAGGAGUAAUGUGGCAACACAGGAACUGAAAUCAUUAGACCGUUUCUGAAACCAGUAGUGAAGUAUGUUAUUUAAUUUGAUGGUCCACAAAAAACCUUACCACAACUUGAAUAUUUUUUAAUUAAUACAAGCGUUGCACGGCUGUCUUCAGUUAAUGUCGUGAGAUUUUGGUUAACUCCAUUAAUUAACGUAAACCCUUACUUUAUUUA
rnacentral:rRNA from 1 species